UGCUUUUCUUUGCCAACUUUAGUGUGUUUACGGGCCAUCUGCAUUUCUUCUUUGGCAAAUUGCCCACUAUCUUAGUCCAUUUAUGCUGCUAUAACAAAUACGGGAGACUGGGUAAUGUUUAAAUAACCGAAAUUUAUUUCUCGCAGUUCUGGAGCUCGGAAAGUUCAAGAUCAAGUUGCUGGCAUCUGGUAAGGGCCUUCUUGCAGCAUCCUCACAUGGCACCACACAGAAGGGCAAGAGAGCAAGCUAGCUGAACGCUGUGUGAAGCCUCUUUUAUAAAGGCCUUCAUCCUAUUAACGUGGAAAAAGAUUUCAUGACGUAAUCACCUUGGAGAGGCCCCACUCCUUAAUAUUAGCACAUUGGCAACAUCUGAAUUUUGGAGAGGAUACAUUCAAACCAUAGCACACCCUUAUAUAUUUUCUUUUGAAAGAGGAUGACUUUUAAAUUGCAUCGCACCUGUUCAAAAGCUGAGAGGAAGCACAGAGACCACAUACUGGAGAUGCUUUCAUGUGAACUGGAAGCUAUCAUUGCAUCAAAGCUUGAGCCAGGGAGAGGAUGAUCUAGCACCGUACUGAAACUGCAGAUACAGCCAGCUCUAGGCAAAGUUGUGAAGGAAGAAAACUUGGUCACCUUCCUGCAUUGAUUCUCCUCUUUUAUGGCAUUCUUCCUUCUAAGCCAGUCAGUGAGUGCAUUCCUGGAAUAUUUAUUUAAAGGAAAUUUCUAGAAACCUGGUAGAUUAUGCUUACUUUAUGAAGAAAGCAAUAGUUAAUUUGAAAAAUCCUAAUCAUUACAUGUGGAAUUUCAGCAAUUAACAAGGCAUUGAGGAGGGCUGGGGAAACUUUACUAGCCCUUUUCCCCAGUAUCUCUUCUAUUAUACCCAAACACUUUGAGAUAUGAAUUAACAUCCCCAUUUUACAGAUAAGAAGAUAGACUCAUUGAAGUUGACUUGUCCUGACUUCAAAGACCGUAAAUCAGAAGAACCAGGAUUUGUCACCUGCCUGACUCAAAACUUACUCUUUUUCUUUACAUCCUAUGACGUCAGUGGGUGAGACCAAAUAACCUCAGAGUUUCAGAUAUGAAGAGAAGCAAACAAGUUAUUAUAUUCUUCAUUCUUUAUUUGGAUGUUAUUUGUCAAGAAGGCAGGCCAUGGAAAGUUUUGUCCAAUACCAAUGAAAUAUAAGUUCUAAUAAAGACUAUUAGAAGAUACAGUGAUCUAGCAUACUGGUUACAAGCCAGAGAUGUGGAAGAGAUUGCCUGUGCUCUUAUC
rnacentral:lncRNA from 1 species